UAACGGCGAGUGAAGCGGCAACAGCUCAAAUUUGAAAUCUGGCGGCCUCUGGGCCGUCCGAGUUGUAAUUUGAAGAGGAUGCUUUUGGCGAGGCGCCUUCCGAGUGCCCUGGAACGGGACGCCACAGAGGGUGAGAGCCCCGUAUGGUUGGACGCCGAGCCUCUGUAAAGCUCCUUCGACGAGUCGAGUAGUUUGGGAAUGCUGCUCAAAAUGGGAGGUAAACCCCUUCUAAAGCUAAAUACUGGCCAGAGACCGAUAGCGCACAAGUAGAGUGAUCGAAAGAUGAAAAGCACUUUGAAAAGAGAGUUAAACAGCACGUGAAAUUGUUGAAAGGGAAGCGCUUGCGACCAGACUUGUGCCCGUCGAAUCAGCCGCCGCUCGUCGGCGGCGCACUUCGGCGGGCUCAGGCCAGCAUCAGUUCGCUGCAGGGGGAGAAAGGCGGUGGGAAUGUGGCUCUUCGGAGUGUUAUAGCCCGCCGCGCAAUACCCCUCGGCGGACUGAGGACCGCGCAUCUGCAAGGAUGCU
rnacentral:rRNA from 1 species